rnacentral:misc_RNA from 1 species
CCAAUUGAUGCUGGAAGAGGUCCUCGCAAAUCCUUGUUGUAUGACAGAUCAAGAAUCUGUAGUUCUGCUAAGUUUGUGAUAUCUCCAGACAGCUGUCCUUUCAAUCCCAUGCUUGACAAUGUUAUGGAAGUCACACGUGAAUUGAUGCACUUUAUGCCAUCCCAUUGGUCUCCACAAGGGUCUGUACCUUUCCAGCUAGGUGGUAAGUUUUCCCAAAUAUCCAUAAGAGCCUUCAACUUAGUUAAAUCAUCACUGUU